rnacentral:lncRNA from 1 species
GUCUUCCGGCCGCGCCUCGAAUCCCGUCAGGCGCAGGAAGGGCGGAGAGCCUCGUGGGCUUCGAGGGGCUCUGCGAGCUCUGCAGUUGAGGCCUUGGUCUGAGGCAGGAGUCCUGAGGUCACAGAGCAGAGGAGGCGCGGCCGCGUGCCAGUCGGUUGUCCAGGCGAGGUGCGUGCUCCGCGCGUGGGGCCGGGGGCUCACCCAUCCCACCCCAGAGGGGACCCCUCGGCCCCCAACCCCCACGCGGCCCCGCUCUCAGGCCUGGGAGCUCGGGGUCUGGGUGGGCUGGGCCUCCCCCUGAGGAGCCACCCCUCUUCUGUCUUCAGGGUCUGGCGACCAUCAUGCCCCUGCGUCAGAGGAGUGAGCUCUGCAAGGUCGAGGAGGAG